ACCAGGCCUUGACAUGCAGAGAACUUCCAGAGAUGGAUUGGUGCCUUCGGGAACUCUGACACAGGUGCUGCAUGGCUGUCGUCAGCUCGUGCGUGAGAUGUUGGGUUAAGUCCCGUAACGAGCGCAACCCUUGUCCUUAGUUACCAGCACGUUAUGGUGGGCACUCUAAGGAGACUGCCGGUGACAAACCGGAGGAAGGUGGGGAUGACGUCAAGUCAUCAUGGCCCUUACGGCCUGGGCUACACACGUGCUACAAUGGUCGGUACAAAGGGUUGCCAAGCCGCGAGGUGGAGCUAAUCCCAUAAAACCGAUCGUAGUCCGGAUCGCAGUCUGCAACUCGACUGCGUGAAGUCGGAAUCGCUAGUAAUCGUGAAUCAGAAUGUCACGGUGAAUACGUUCCCGGGCCUU
rnacentral:rRNA from 1 species